rnacentral:tRNA from 1 species
AAGGGUAUAGCUUAGUGGUAGAGUGCAUGCUUAGCAUGCACAAGGUCCUGGGUUCAAUCCACAGUACCUCCA